AAUUAUAUAAGGUAGCGGUAUGUCUGGCACUGCCUGAUGGAGGGGGAUAACGUACUGGAAACGGUAGCUAAUACCGCAUAACGUCGCAAGACCAAAGAGGGGGACCUUCGGGCCUCUUGCCAUCGGAUGUGCCCAGAUGGGAUUAGCUUGUUGGUGGGGUAACGGCUCACCUAGGCGACGAUCCCUAGCUGGUCUGAGAGGAUGACCAGCCACACUGGAACUGAGACACGGUCCAGACUCCUACGGGAGGCAGCAGUGGGGAAUAUUGCACAAUGGGCGCAAGCCUGAUGCAGCCAUGCCGCGUGUAUGAAGAAGGCCUUCGGGUUGUAAAGUACUUUCAGCGGGGAGGAAGGGAGUAAAGUUAAUACCUUUGCUCAUUGACGUUACCCGCAGAAGAAGCACCGGCUAACUCCGUGCCAGCAGCCGCGGUAAUACGGAGGGUGCAAGCGUUAAUCGGAAUUACUGGGCGUAAAGCGCACGCAGGCGGUUUGUUAAGUCAGAUGUGAAUCCCCCGGGGC
rnacentral:rRNA from 1 species